rnacentral:rRNA from 1 species
UACAUGUGGGGCAAGCGUUGUUCGGAUUCACUGGGCGUAAAGGGUGCGUAGGCGGUCGGGUAAGUCUGAUGUGAAAUCUCACAGCUUAACUGUGAAACUGCAUUGGAUACUAUCCGGCUCGAGGAAUGGAGGGGAGACUGGAAUACUUGGUGUAGCAGUGAAAUGCGUAGAUAUCAAGUGGAACACCAGUGGCGAAGGCGAGUCUCUGGACAUUUCCUGACGCUGAGGCACGAAAGCCAGGGGAGCAAACGGG